UAUGGUAAUUGUGUGCCAGCCUCUUCUUUACUACGUAGGGAGCAAGCGUUAUCCGGAUUUACUGGGUGUAAAGGGCGCGCAGGCGGGCCGGCAAGUUGGAAGUGAAAUCUAUGGGCUUAACCCAUAAACUGCUUUCAAAACUGCUGGUCUUGAGUGAUGGAGAGGCAGGCGGAAUUCCGUGUGUAGCGGUGAAAUGCGUAGAUAUACGGAGGAACACCAGUGGCGAAGGCGGCCUGCUGGACAUUAACUGACGCUGAGGCGCGAAAGCGUGGGGAGCAAACAGG
rnacentral:rRNA from 1 species